CAGCAGCCGCGGUAAUACGAAGGGUGCAAGCGUUACUCGGAAUUACUGGGCGUAAAGCGUGUGUAGGUGGUUGUUUAUGUCUGUCGUGAAAGCCCUGGGCUCAACCUGGGAAUUGCGAUGGAUACUGGGCGACUAGAGUGCGGUAGAGGAUAGUGGAAUUUCCGGUGUAGCAGUGAAAUGCGUAGAGAUCGGAAGGAACAUCUGUAGCGAAGGCGACUAUCUGGGCCAACGCUGACACUGAGACGCGAAAGCGUGGGGAGCAAACAGGAUUAGAGACCCCUGUAGUCCCUGUCUCUUAUAC
rnacentral:rRNA from 1 species